AUGCAGAACAAUCUGUAUGUAAAUAGGAUAAAUUACUCUACAAGAAAUGAAUCCUAGACAGUUUUCCCUUCAAGUCAAGUGUUCUGU
rnacentral:pre_miRNA from 3 species